rnacentral:rRNA from 1 species
AUUGAACGCUGGCGGCAGGCCUAACACAUGCAAGUCGAACGGUAACAGGAAACAGCUUGCUGUUUCGCUGACGAGUGGCGGACGGGUGAGUAAUGUCUGGGAAACUGCCUGAUGGAGGGGGAUAACUACUGGAAACGGUAGCUAAUACCGCAUAACGUCGCAAGACCAAAGAGGGGGACCUUCGGGCCUCUUGCCAUCGGAUGUGCCCAGAUGGGAUUAGCUUGUUGGUGGGGUAACGGCUCACCAAGGCGACGAUCCCUAGCUGGUCUGAGAGGAUGACCAGCCACACUGGAACUGAGACACGGUCCAGACUCCUACGGGAGGCAGAAGUGGGGAAUAUUGCACAAUGGGCGCAAGCCUGAUGCAGCCAUGCCGCGUGUAUGAAGAAGGCCUUCGGGUUGUAAAGUACUUCAGCGGGGAGGAAGGGAGUAAAGUUAAUACCUUUACUCAUUGACGUUACCCGCAGAAGAAGCACCGGCUAACUCCGUGCCAGCCGCCGCCGUAA